AAAAUGAGUAUUAGUGUUGUCUAAAAACUUCUAAUCCAUCUCUAACUCUUAAAAUUAGUCGAUUGCAUUGGAUUGUGACACAUUUUGACCAUAAAAAUACUAACAAAGCUAUUUAGUGCUUCUAAGCAAUAUUUUGUUGGUUAUAGCUUCUUUUGAGAGUAAAUGCGUAUAAGUGUUGUCUAAACACUCCUAAUCCAUCGCUAGCUCUUAUAAUUAGUCAAAUGCAUUGGAUUGUGACACAUUUUGACCAUAGAAACACUAACAAAUCUAUUGACUGCUUUUAAGCAAAUUUUGUUGGUUUUAGCCUCUUUUGGGAGAAAAUGGGUAUAAGUGUUAUCUAAACACUCCUAAUCCAUCUCUAAUUCUAUAAUUAGUCAAAUGCAUUCGAUUGUGAAACAUUUUGACCAUGAAAACACUAACAAAGCUAUUUACUGCGUCUAAGCAAAUGUUUGUUGGUUAUAGCUUCUUUUGGGAGAAAAUGGGUAUAAGUGUUCUCUAAACACUCUUAAUCCAUCUCUUACUCUUAUAAUUAGUCAAAUGCAUUGGAUUGUGACACAUUUUGACCAUAGAAACACUAACAAAUCUAUUGACCGCUUCUAAGCAAGUUUUGUUGGUUUUAGCCUCUUUUGGGAGGAAAUGGGUUAUAAGUGUUAUCUAAACACUUCUUGUCCAUCCCUAACUCUUAUAAUUAAUCAAUUGCAAAUUUUUGUUGAUUUUAGCCUCUUUUGACAGAAAAUGAGUAUAAGUGGUGUCUAAACACUCCUAAUCCAUCUCUAACUCUAUAAUUAGUCCAAUGCAUUGGAUUGUGAAACAUUUUGACCAUAGAAACACUAACAAAUCUAUUGACUCCUUCUAUGCAUAUGUUUGGUGGUUUAGCCUCUUUUUGGAUAAAAUAGGUAUAAGUGUUGUCUAAACACUUCUAAACCAUCUCUAACUCUUAUAAUUAGUCGAAUGCAUUGGAUUGUGAUACCUUUUGACCAUAAAAACACUAACAAAGUUAUUUACUGCUUCUAAGCAAUAUUUUGUUGGUUAUAGCUUCUUUUGUGAGUAAAUGGGUAUAAGUGUUGUCUAAACACUCCUAAUCCAUCGCUAGCUCUUAUAAUUAGUCAAAUGCAUUAGAUUGUGACACAUUUUGACCAUAGAAACACUAACAAAUCUAUUGAGUUGUUCUAAGCAAGUUUUGUUGGUUUUAACCUCUUCUAGGAGGAAAUGGGUAUAAGUGUUGUCUAAACACUUCUUAUCCAUCUCUAACUCUUACAAUUAGUCAAUUGCAUUGGAUUGUGACACAUUUUGACUAUAGAAACACUAACAAAUCUACUGACUGCUUCUAAGCAAGUUUUGUUGGUUUUAGCCUCUUUUGGAGAAAAUGGGUAUAAGUGUUAUCUAAACACUCCUAAUCCAUCUCUAACUCUAUUAUUAGUCAAAUGCAUUGGAUUGUGAAACAUUUUGACCAUGAAAACACUAAUAAAGCUAUUUACUGCGUCUAAGCAAAUGUUUGUUGGUUAUAGCUUCUUUUGGGAGAAAAUGGGUGUAAGUGUUCUCUAAACACUCCUAAUCCAUCUCUUACUCUUAUAAUUAGUCAAAUGCAUUGGAUUGUGACACAUUUUGACCAUAGAAACACUAACAAAUCUAUUGACCGCUUCUAAGCAAGUUUUGUUGGUUUUAGCCUCUUUUGGGAGGAAAUGGGUUAUAAGUGUUAUCUAAACACUUCUUGUCCAUCCCUAACUCUUAUAAUUAAUCAAUUGCAAAUUUUUGUUGGUUUUAGCCUCUUUUGGGAGAAAAUGGGUAUAAUUGUUGUCUAAACACUCCUAAUCCAUCUCUAACUCUAUAAUUAGUCCAAUGCAUUGGAUUGUGAAACAUUUUGACCAUAGAAACACUAACAAAUCUAUUGACUGAUUCUAAGCAAAUGUUUGUUGGUUUUAGCCUCGUUUGGGAUAAAAUGGGUAUAAGUGUUGUCUAAACACUCCAAAUCCAUCUCUAACUCUUAUAAUUAGUCGAAUGCAUUAGAUUGUGAUACCUUUUGACCAUAUAAACACUAAGAAAGCUAUUUACUGCUUCUUAGCAAUAUUUUGUUGGUUUUAGACUCUUUUGAGAUAAAAUUGGUAUAAGUGUUGUCUAAACACUCCUAAUCCAUCUCUAACUAUUAUAAUUAGUCGAAUGCAUUGGAUUGUGAUACCUUUUGACCAUAUAAACACUAAGAAAGCUAUUUACUGCUUCUUAGCAAUAUUUUGUUGGUUAUAGCUUCUUUUGGGAGAAAAUGGGUAUAAGUGUUCUCUAAACACUCCUAAUCCAUCUCUAACUCUUAUAAUUAGGCAAAUGCAUUGGAUUGUGACACAUUUUAACUAUAGAAACUCUAACCAAUUUAUUGACUGCUUCUAAGCAAGUUUUGUUGGUUUUAGACUCUUUUGGGAGAAAAUGGGUAUAAGUGUUGUCUAAACACUCCGAAUUCAUCUAUAACUCUUAUAAUUAGUCAUAUGCUUUGGAUUGUGAAACAUUUUGACCAUAGAAACACUAACAAAGCUAUAUACUGCGUCUAAGAAAAUGUUUGUUGGUUUUAGCCUCUUUUGAGAUAAAAUGGGUGUAAGUGUUGUCUAAACACUCCUAAUCCAUCUCUAACUAUUAUAAUUAGUCGAAUGCAUUGGAUUGUGAUACCUUUUGACCAUAUAAACACUAACAAAGUUAUUUAGAGCUUCUAAGCAAUAUUUUGUUGGUUAUAGCUUCUUUUGGGAGAAAAUGGGUAUAAGUGUUCUCUAAACACUCCUAAUCAAUCUCUAACUCUUAUAAUUAGUCAAAUGCAUUGGAUUGUGACACAUGUUGACUAUAGAAACUCUAACAAAUUUAUUGA
rnacentral:sRNA from 1 species